GAUAAAAUCAAGUACGUAUUUCCCCAAAUUUUUACUUUAAAAACUAUGAUUGAGCUGCCUUUAAUUCCACCUACUCAGAAGACUGAGGUAGGAAGACUGAACAUUUGAGAUUUAUGAAAAUAUGCAUCAGCUUAAUACUGUCUUGGAAUUCAUGAGGUGGAAGCAUAGGUCAAAGCUGUUUGAAGAAAAUUGGAAGUGCACUUUAAUAGCCACAUCUCCAAGGCCACACCUAGAAGAACGGUCAGAUGCUUUUCCCAUCCAGGCAUCUCUGCAACCACUGAUUCACCUCUCCUGUGUAUGUGUUCUGUGUGUCUGUGUGAGUA
rnacentral:lncRNA from 1 species